GAUGAACGCUGGCGGCGUGCCUAAUACAUGCAAGUCGAGCGAACGGACGAGAAGCUUGCUUCUCUGAUGUUAGCGGCGGACGGGUGAGUAACACGUGGAUAACCUACCUAUAAGACUGGGAUAACUUCGGGAAACCGGAGCUAAUACCGGAUGAUAUUUUGAACCGCAUGGUUCAAAAGUGAAAGACGGUCUUGCUGUCACUUAUAGAUGGAUCCGCGCUGCAUUAGCUAGUUGGUAAGGUAACGGCUUACCAAGGCAACGAUGCAUAGCCGACCUGAGAGGGUGAUCGGCCACACUGGAACUGAGACACGGUCCAGACUCCUACGGGAGGCAGCAGUAGGGCAUCUUCCGCAAUGGGCGAAAGCCUGACGGAGCAACGCCGCGUGAGUGAUGAAGGUCUUCGGAUCGUAAAACUCUGUUAUUAGGGAAGAACAUAUGUGUAAGUAACUGUGCACAUCUUGACGGUACCUAAUCAGAAAGCCACGGCUAACUACGUG
rnacentral:rRNA from 1 species